CUCUUAUCGAGAGUGGUGGAGGGAUAUGGCCCUGUGAAGCCCGGCAACCGCUGACUUUGUCAGAAAGGUGCUACAUCCAUCAGGCAUUGCCUGAAAGAUAAGAC
rnacentral:ncRNA from 1 species